ensembl:lncRNA
CACGCUAACACUUUUGUAAAAAGCUACCUUUCUUCAAACAAAAACAUUUUUAUAUCAUGUAUAUGUUGCUUCAUUCACUGAAAUGCUGUUUCUUAGGCCACUAUGUGUUCAGUAAUGACGGUAACUAGCUUAUGUAAGCAGAUAACUUCGCUCCAUGCCUGUGGAUUUUCACAUGCACACAACGGCUAAUGGCUCGAUUUGCCAUUAUAUGCAAAAUGAUUCAUCAACGUGCUCAAAGGCAGAUUCUCAGUUUAGCUUGAAGGAAGCAAAAGGAGGAGAGGAAAAGAAGAAGAAAAAAAAUCAGUUUUAAAAGGCAAUACAUAAAGCCUGAAAGAAAAAAAAAUAUGCCACUUAAAAUAACCAAGUUCAUUAUACAAAGGGGAUAAAACUAAGAAAGACUGACCAGAACACACAGAAACCAACUUUUAAUCAACGUUAUCCAAUGUCUUGUGACUCUCUUAGUCUACUCUUAAGCGAUAAAGCUUGAAAAAGCUUUUUACAUCAGAGGUAGAUAAGUUCCUGCUGCUGAUAUGAAGCAUGAAGUCAUCCUUUACCUGAAUGCGGUCAUCCUUUACCUAACUUCAAUACAUCUUAAAAUAUUUAUCAAAACAUGCAAACAAAUGAUUUUUUAAUGAUCCCGAUUAACAAUUCAAAAUUGGGGUGCUAAUUCAUUAGAUUUACACAAAUAUUAUAAUUACUUUAAAUGACAUAAUGGGACUCAGCUAGUCCACAGGGCAACCAGUAGAUAUUUCAUUCUGCUUUUUGCUUCUUCUUUUUUUUUCUUCUUUUUUUUUUAAUGAGAAUUUUAUUUCUGCUUCUUUUGAACAAACGCUGUGAUUUGUUGUAGACGAUGAUGCAUAUUUGAGUCUUGCUACACUGCGAUACCAUUGUUACUGAGGGAAACAAUAACAAUAGAGCAAUAUGAUACAAUCAUGUAGACUUGAUAGUAUCAUAUUCUAUGAGUUACACUCAAAAACUCUUACAGAUAAAAGUCUGACAAUAUUGUAUUGGACUCUGUAGAAAAAAAUUAAAUAAAAUCUAAAAAAAAAUUUUUAGCCAAC